AUAAAUAGCAGUAUACCUUACAGUGAUAGCAAUAAGCACAAUUAAAUACGUCGGUCAAAAUAGUAAUUCUUUUGAGAAAGGAACAAAUGAAAAAUGGAUCUGAGGACCAGUGCCUCUGAACAUGCAGAAGAACCAUCCCAAUUUUGAUAUUAAGUUCUUUUAUUUAUUUCUUUUUUUAAAUUAACACCCAGUGCUAUGUAUAUCUACUCAUUAAAAUAUAUUAGUUAGUCUUUAAGGCGCCACAUGUUUUUGUCUUUUUUUUUCUUUCUUUGGAUUUUGCCUGAUAUACUCAAAAGUCAGUCCACUUGAGUUCCACGAGGCUUAUUCCAGCAUAAGUGCAUACAGGAUGCAUUGCAGCCUAAAAGGGAACUUUUGCUAUCCUUGCCCUCAAUCAAUCUCAUUCUAGUCUUAGGUUAAUCCACCCGCACCACUCUCAAGAAUUACUCUUUCUCAAUGGUUGCAAUUCAGAGCUGCAACGCAGAGAGCCACUGUGCAUUUUGAAAAUAGCAAAAGUGAGCACGGAAAUUGAAUUUUAGGUAUUUAAAAACAGAUGGGUAUGGGAAAGGGGCCAAGUACAGCUCAGGCAUUCUAAGAUGUAGAGCUCUCUGCCCUUUUAACAAUUAAAGAGCAGGGUUACUCUUGACGGGACAAGAACUUGAGCCAAGGAAAUGCUGUGGAGCAGCAGGCUUGGUGGCUUAGGCUGGUUGGAGAGAAGGAACCAACUGGUUACCAAGUAUAACAAAGCAAUUGAAUUAGAAAAAGAACAUCAGAAAGAGACUGAAAGGCGAUUAGAGGAGUCGGAGCGCUUAGUCAAGGAGCAGAUCCAGUUGCUAGAUGACACCAUAAGACAUUACACGAAAAUCAUUCAAGAACAGCACACACAGGUUCGUCAAAAUGGCCAAUGUAAACAAUUUGCAUUUCCUGCUUUAUUUAAAUCUGUAAUUAUUAGAAUUAUAGCAUGUAUAUUACCCACUUUAGCAGUCAAGGUAUCGUAUGGCAAAAUUAUGUAG
rnacentral:lncRNA from 1 species